rnacentral:rRNA from 1 species
AACGACUCUCGGCAACGGAUAUCUCGGCUCUCGCAUCGAUGAAGAACGUAGCGAAAUGCGAUACUUGGUGUNAAUUGCAGAAUCCCGUGAACCAUCGAGUUUUUGAACGCAAGUUGCGCCCGAAGCCUUUUGGCUGAGGGCACGUCUGCCUGGGCG